ACAGAUGCUUUUACAGCUCGCCUUGGCGGGAAGAUCUGGCACAAAUGAAGUAUCUAUAAGGAGCAGCAGAGUCAAGGUGGUGAUCCUGUGGAUGAAUAACUGAAACCUGAUAUACUUGACAGCAGAAAAUAUAAAGCAAAUUGAAAAGGAGAGAGUGUGGAGAUAAAUAAGAAAAUGAAAGAACUGAUAAAGUCACUUGGAUUAAAAAACCUGGGAGAAGACACCAGACAAAUGAGUUACACUGUUUUGGACUCCCCAACACAACCCAGCCACCGGCUGAAUGCCACCAAAUUACCUUCUAGUUAAAGGUUUAUGGAGCAAACGAAUCACCUAUUCAAUAUCUGCUUGAAUUUCUGACUCAAAAUACAUCAGGUAUGUACUGUGUGACUUAAAUAUUGAGUUUAUUUUUAUCAAAUACCUGUCAAGAAAGAAAGUCAAUUCUGAAACAGCAGAAGCUCAAAGUUCUACAGAUGGCUUUCAAAGGAAUUUGAAUUAGACAUCAUUUGAUGUUGCAAAAAACAAUGACAUCUUUUAUAGCUCUAAACAUCAGUUUUUAAAUUAGAGAU
rnacentral:lncRNA from 10 species